rnacentral:rRNA from 1 species
UCCUACGGGGGGCAGCAGUGGGGAAUAUUGCACAAUGGGGGAAACCCUGAUGCAGCGACGCCGCGUGAGUGAAGAAGUAUUUCGGUACGUAAAGCUCUAUCAGCAGGGAAGAAAAUGACGGUACCUGACUAAGAAGCCCCGGCUAACUACGUGCCAGCAGCCGCGGUAAUACGUAGGGGGCAAGCGUUAUCCGGAUUUACUGGGUGUAAAGGGAGCGUAGACGGCAGCGCAAGUCUGGAGUGAAAGGCGGGGGCCCAACCCCCGGACUGCUCUGGAAACUGUAUGGCUGGAGGGCAGGAGAGGUA